rnacentral:misc_RNA from 1 species
AAGUCGUAACAAGGUUUCCGUAGGUGAACCUGCGGAAGGAUCAUUAAGGAGUAUUCGCUGGAGGCCUUCGGGUAGUACAGCUCUCCCACCCGUGACUAUAUACUAUGUUGCUUUCCGGGCGUUAAACCCCGGAGAGGACCAAACUCUUGAAUUUAUUACUGUCUGAGUACUAUAUAAUAGUUAAAACUUUCAACAACGGAUCUCUUGGUUCUG